rnacentral:tRNA from 1 species
GACAAAAGGGGAUGUAGCUCAGAUGGUAGAGCGCUCGCUUAGCAUGCGAGAGGUACGGGGAUCGAUACCCCGCAUCUCCAAUUUUCCGUUUUCCAUUUUGGUUAAUGUACUUCUUAGUUA